rnacentral:misc_RNA from 1 species
ACAAACUUGGUCAUUUAGAGGAAGUAAAAGUCGUAACAAGGUCUCCGUAGGUGAACCUGCGGAGGGAUCAUUGCAGAAACACAUAACCCAGGAACUCUUUUCCUGGGCAAACAACCAACACACAUGACUAGGAAAAGCAAAGCAAACAGAGAUUGUGGAGGAAUUGGCUUGGCCGGCUUGGCUUGGCUUGGCUUGGCUUGGGUCCUCGCACACAAGAAGAGAAGAAGCUCUUGUCUGAUAAGUAGCUUGCUGAUUUGGAGUUACUACAAUACAAUACAACUUUCAACAACGGAUCUCUUGGCUCUCACAUCGAUGAAGAACGCAGC